ensembl:lncRNA
UAAAUGUUAGGUUAAACGGUUAGGUUUAGGUUUAAAAUCACAAUUUAAGAUACAUUGUAGAAAUAGGCCGGAUUGAUGACUUUAUGGUUGUGGUAACUAGUGACGACUGUUCACCCUAGUGCACUUGUUCGAUCGUGAGCUGGCUGCUCAUUCUAAAUAGUGCAAUCUAAUCUGUUCAAAACAGUUGCAGCAAGUGCACCAGUGGUCAUGGGUUUUCGUCAUGCAAAGGUGAAAUAGGUGUAUUUAUGCUGUUGUUCAAAUGCACAGAUUGCUUUAUAUAUAUUUUCAAAUAAACUACCGGUAGUUUGAAAACGUGGCAGUAUUCUGUCAUGCUGCUUUAGUUGAUAACUCCCACCAUCUCUUGCCCUGGGUAUUCAGCCAAUCAGCAUCCUCAGCUGACAGAGACACAGCUUAUUUCUCUCUCUCUGUAUCGGUCCCUCUCUUUCUCUCUUCAUCAGCCUGAGGCCUCUCAUUAAACCUGGCUCAUCCGAAUUGGACCUGCUGCUGAGGAGAUGAUGGGUGCAGUAGGCGAGGAAACAGCGACACCCUCUGGGCAACUGGUGUAAAUACACUGUACCAGGCGUUACUACAAUGUCUUCUAAAGACAAACCCAUUGCAUACGUAGUUACAUACACUCCUAUUUUUGCUAUUUUUGUACUGCACGGUGAACAGAACAUAGCUAAAUAGAACUGCAGUGAAUUUUCUCCAAGCCUGAAAUACUUUAGCAUGCAACUUCCCUUACCAUACCUAUUUUGGAACCAAUUAGAAGUUGAAAUGCAUACAUAAGUUAUUCCAAAUGCCUCAUAUUAGAGUAACUACCAUUAUAAUUUAGUUCACUCAAUGUGUCCAUUUCUCUAUCCAACCUUUCCAAG